CUCCUACGGGAGGCAGCAGUGGGGAAUUUUCUGCAAUGGGAGAAAUCCUGACGGAGCAAUGCCACAUGAAGGCAGAAGGCCCACGAGUCAUGUAAUUCCUUUCUCGUAGAAGAAAAAAUGACGGUAUCUAAGGAAUAAGCAUCGGCUAACUCUGUGCCAGCAACCAUGGUAAUACAUAGGAUGUAAGUGUUAUCCGAAAUGGUUGGGCGUAAAGCGUCUGUAGGUGGCUUUUCAAGUCUGCUGUCAAAUCCCUGGGCUCAACCCUGGACAGGCGGUGGAAAAUACCAGGAUGGAGUACGAUAGGGGCAGAGGGAAUUUUUGGUGGAGCGGUGAAAUGCAUUGAGAUCGGAAAGAACACCAACGGCAAAAGCACUUUGCUGGGCCAACACUGACACUGAGAGACAAAAGCUAGGGGAGCAAAUGGGAUUAGAUACCCUAGUAGUCCUAGCCGUAAACUAUGGAUACUAAGUGCUGUGCGUAUCGACCCACGCAGUGCUGUAGCUAACGUGUUAAGUAUCCCGCCUGGGGAGUAUGUUUGCAAGAAUGAAACUCAAAGGAAUUGACGG
rnacentral:rRNA from 1 species